rnacentral:rRNA from 1 species
UACGUAGGUGGCAAGCGUUGUCCGGAUUUACUGGGUGUAAAGGGCGUGUAGCCGGGCUUACAAGUCAGAUGUGAAAUCCGGGGGCUCAACCCCCGAACUGCAUUUGAAACUGUAGGUCUUGAGUAUCGGAGAGGUAGGCGGAAUUCCUAGUGUAGCGGUGAAAUGCGUAGAUAUUAGGAGGAACACCAGUGGCGAAGGCGGCCUGCUGGACGACAACUGACGGUGAGGCGCGAAAGCGUGGGGAGCAAACAGG